rnacentral:rRNA from 1 species
UACGUAGGGUGCGAGCGUUAAUCGGAAUUACUGGGCGUAAAGCGUGCGUAGGCGGUUCGCUGUGUCCGAUGUGAAAGCCCCGGGCUUAACCUGGGAAUGGCAUUGGAAACUGGCGGGCUUGAGUGCGGCAGAGGGGGGUGGAAUUCCGCGUGUAGCAGUGAAAUGCGUAGAUAUCAGGAGGAACACCGGUGGCGAAGGCGGGUCUCUGGGCCGAUACUGACGCUGAGGAGCGAAAGCGUGGGGAGCGAACAGG